ensembl:lncRNA
UCUCCAUGGUUCCACUGAAAUCAUACAUGGAAGUAACAGGUUAUUUCAGUCAUGCCUGCAUGAUGCCCGUCUCAUGGUUGGCUGCUUGGGCUGUAAUAGAGUGAGGAGAGAGGGAAGGUCAGUUCCUGCUACAAAGCGUCAUGUUCCUCCAUUACUGAGCUUCUUUUAAGGGGGCUGCCUGUGGUGGAGGGGAGGGAGCAGUAGGUAAUGCUUUGCUACAGUUUGCUAGGAGGUAUUCAGAGCUUUAGGGUAUGCAUGACAAUUCUUCUUAGGGCAUAAAUAUUUUCUUAAAUAUUUAGGGGAAAAUUGUAGUAUAAUUAUUUAUUGAAACAUUUAUGUUUUGUUUUGGAGGCAGUUGUAGGAUUAGAAACAGUGAGAACUAUUUGUAUAUUUUUCUGAAUUUGGAGAAGGUCAUUGUGUUUCCUUUUUGUGGUAUUAAUAACAUCUUGAAGAUAAUCUAUUGAGUUGGAUAAUCUAUUGGUCAUUUGGAAUGAACUUUUUGGCCAACCCAAUAUUUUCUGUUUUUUUUUUUUUUUUCUUCAAAACCUGGAACUCUGAAAUUAUGCUAAAGUUACGGGUGUGUGUGUGUGUAUGGGGCUGGAGGACUGUGGAGAAGAGGGUGGAAGUGGUGAGAGAGGGGAAAAUCCCGGAACCUGGGAAGAGAGGGAGAGGUAUGAGGGGGCCCAACUGGGAGCUUACAGAUCUGCAGAAGGGCUCCAACUUUGGCAAAAAUCCCAGCAGGGGCCAGGCUGAGGCUUAGCAGAGAAAGUGUGGAGCUUCCCGAUGUCCUAACUCCACGGGUCACGCAUAGCUGGACAAUGGAUUGAUUAAUGGUGAACAGUACAAGCCAGCAACUAGAGGCUUUCCCAAAUAUUCUGUCAUAAACACCCAGGACUUUGAUAAGACCCUAGAGGAGCUGAUGUGGGUAGAGAUUUAUAGGCCUGAAUAAGGUUAUUUCCUACCAAUCUGGCAGGGGAAAGAGGAGAAGGAGGCCUGCAUUCAAUUUAACUUUAUAGAAAAAAUUUUUGGUAAUUGUUGAAAAAUUGUAUAUUAUCAUCUAUCAUUAUGUAACAAAUUACUGCAAGUUUUAGCAUGUUAGUACAGUCAACCCAAUGCUCAGCUGGGCGCUUCUGGCUCGGGGUGUCUCUUGAGGCUACAGUCGAGGUAUCAGCUCUGGGAGAAGUCAUCUCAGGGCCUGAGAGGGGAGGACCUGGUCCUCAGUAGGCUCAUGUGGCUGUAGGCAGGCCUCCGGUCUCCUGUGGGUGUUGGCUGGGGAUGCUGCAUUCUUGCCCUGUGGUCCCUUGCACAGGGCUGUGUUCACAGGAGGGCAACUGAUUCCCUCAGAGCAAAGAGGGAGAGAAAAAGAGAGAGAGAGAGACAGAGAGAGAGAGGGAGGGAGGAAAGGAAACUGGGAAAAGGAAAAGACAAGAUAAGAUGGGGGAGAGAGAAAGAAAUAGAUCCUAGACAGAAGUAUAGUGUUUUCAAAGUCCAGUCUCAGAAAUGACAGUCCACGGCUUUCUCCAGUUUUAUUAAUUAGAAGCGAGUCCACAGACUUAUCGU